AACGAACGCUGGCGGCAUGCCUAACACAUGCAAGUCGAACGAGACCUUCGGGUCUAGUGGCGCACGGGUGCGUAACGCGUGGGAACCUGCCUUUAGGUUCGGAAUAACUCAGAGAAAUUUGAGCUAAUACCGGAUAAUGUCUUCGGACCAAAGAUUUAUCGCCUUUAGAUGGGCCCGCGUUGGAUUAGCUAGUUGGUGGGGUAAAGGCCUACCAAGGCGACGAUCCAUAGCUGGUCUGAGAGGAUGAUCAGCCACACUGGGACUGAGACACGGCCCAGACUCCUACGGGAGGCAGCAGUGGGAAUAUUGGACAAUGGGCGAAAGCCUGAUCCAGCAAUGCCGCGUGAGUGAUGAAGGCCUUAGGGUUGUAAAGGCUCUUUUUACCAGGGUAUGAUAAUGACAGUACCUGAGAAUAAGCUCCGGCUAACUCCGCGCCAGCAGCCGCGGUAAAGU
rnacentral:rRNA from 1 species